rnacentral:lncRNA from 1 species
AUUACAUAACAUUUCUAAUCAUACUUUUACAUUACAUCAUAUCCAUGUCCACAACUAGCUAUUACAAUAACAUAACUCUACUUCUGCUGACCUCCUGGUCUACCCUGUACCUGCAAACCUGGGGGUUAAGGGAGAGGGGUGAGCUACUAGAGCCCAGUGAGCAGAAUAAUAAAACAUUUAUAUUACAAGUUCAUGCUUUCAUGGAAUGCAUCACAUCACAACUAAUCAUAUCAAGGAUGAACUUGUCACCAUUUAGCCCUCUACAUAUUCCAAUCAUGCCAGGGGCGUAGUGCAAGCCACACCUGGUCUUUCUUUUAUACAUAACAUAUCAUACAUAACCAAUUGUGCCGGGGGCGUAGUGCAGGCCACACCAGAACUUCCAUAUCAUAUCAUCAUGUCAUAACAUAUGAGGGCUAAUGGAUCAUUCAACAUUCAUCCACAUCAACAACAUAUUAUGCAAUGCAACAUAUUCGUGAAUUCUAAUACAAACACCCUAAUAUAUCUCAUGGCAUUCAUGAUGCAUGAAUCAUGCUAAAACUUUCAUUUAAUUUCUCAAUUUAAAACAUUAAGUUUAGUUCCACUCACCUCUGGCUGAAGCUCUACUGACUCUGAAGCAGUUAUCUCACUGCUGAGGUCCUCGGUUCCUCGGGUCCGAACCUACACAGGUGGACUCAAAUGAGGGACCAAACAUACAUAAACAUGACUCUAAAAUACUCCCC